rnacentral:rRNA from 1 species
UGAGCAAUCUGCCCUUCUCUUCGGAAUAAGCGUUGGAAACGACGUCUAAUGCCGAAUACGACCUCCUUUCGCAUGAUCGGAGGUGGAAAGCUCCGGCGGAGAAGGAUGAGCUCGCGGCCUAUCAGCUAGUUGGUGUGGGUAAUGGCCCACCAAGGCGACGACGGGUAGCCGGCCUGAGGAGGGUGACCCGGCCACACGUGGGACUGAGACACGGCCCAGACCUCCGUACGGGGAGNAG